rnacentral:rRNA from 1 species
UACGGAGGGGGCUAGCGUUGUUCGGAAUUACUGGGCGUAAAGCGCACGUAGGCGGCUUUGUAAGUUAGAGGUGAAAGCCCGGGGCUCAACUCCGGAAUUGCCUUUAAGACUGCAGCGCUAGAACGUCGGAGAGGUAAGUGGAAUUCCGAGUGUAGAGGUGAAAUUCGUAGAUAUUCGGAAGAACACCAGUGGCGAAGGCGACUUACUGGACGACUGUUGACACUGAGGUGCGAAAGCGUGGGGAGCAAACAGG